GCUGGGCGUGGUGGUGCAUGCCUGUAAUCCUAGCUACUUGGGAGGCUGAGGCAGGAGAAUUGCUUGAACCCAGGAGGUGGAGGUUGCAGGGAGGUGGAGGUUGCAGUGAGCCGAGAUUACACCACUGCUCUCCAGCCUGGGCAACACAGCAAGACUCUGACUCUG
rnacentral:sRNA from 1 species